rnacentral:rRNA from 1 species
AGUCGCCGCGGUAAUGCGAAGGGGGCUAGCGUUGUUCGGAAUUACUGGGCGUAAAGCGCACGUAGGCGGAUACUUAAGUUAGGGGUGAAAUCCCAGGGCUCAACCCUGGAACUGCCUUUAAUACUGGGUAUCUUGAGUUCGAGAGAGGUAAGUGGAAUUCCGAGUGUAGAGGUGAAAUUCGUAGAUAUUCGGAGGAACACCAGUGGCGAAGGCGGCUUACUGGCUCGAUACUGACGCUGAGGUGCGAAAGCGUGGGGAGCAAACAGGAUUAGAUACCCCCGUAGUCCCUGUCUCUUAUACA